rnacentral:misc_RNA from 1 species
AUGGGAGGGGGCUUACUCCCGAUGGCAGUGGGUCAGUCAAUACAUCCAGUGACUGAUCCACUGCCAUCGGGAGCAAGCCCCCUCCCAC